rnacentral:rRNA from 1 species
UGGGGAAUAUUGGACAAUGGGGGGCAACCCUGAUCCAGCGAUGCCGCGUGUGUGAAGAAGGCCUGAGGGUUGUAAAGCACUUUAGUUGUUGAGGAAGGUUGUGAGGUGAAUACCCUCAUAACUUGACGGUAAACAAAGAAUAAGCCACGGCUAACUACGUGCCAGCAGCCGCGGUAAUACGUAGGUGGCAAGCGUUGUCCGGAUUUAUUGGGUUUAAAGGGUGCGUAGGUGGCCCUGUAAGUCAGUGGUGAAAUAUCUCAGCUUAACUGAGAGGGUGCCAUUGAUACUGCAGGGCUUGAGUACAGAUGAGGUAGGCGGAAUUGACGGUGUAGCGGUGAAAUGCAUAGAUAUCGUCAAGAACACCGAUAGCGAAGGCAGCUUACCAAGCUGUAACUGACACUGAGGCACGAAAGUGUGGGGAUCAAACAGGAUUAGAUACCCCGGUAGUCCCUGAGCGGGCUGGCAAGGCGCAU